rnacentral:rRNA from 1 species
AGCCAUGCGAGUCAUUGUAGCAAUACAAGGCAGACGGCUCAGUAACGCGUAGUCAACCUAACCUAUGGACGGGAAUAACCUCGGGAAACUGAGAAUAAUGCCCGAUAGAACACUAUACCUGGAAUGGUUUGUGUUCCAAAUGAUUUAUCGCCGUAGGAUGGGACUGCGGCCUAUCAGUUUGUUGGUGAGGUAAUGGCCCACCAAGACUAUUACAGGUACGGGCUCUGAGAGGAGUAGCCCGGAGAUGGGUACUGAGACACGGACCCAGGCCCUAUGGGGCGCAGCAGGCGAGAAAACUUUGCAAUGUGCGAAAGCACGACAAGGUUAAUCCGAGUGGUUUCUGCUAAAGGAACCUUUUGUCGGUCCUAGAAACACCGAUGAAUAAGGGGUGGGCAAGUUCUGGUGUCAGCCGCCGCGGUAAAACCAGCACCUCCAGUGGUCAGGAUGAUUAUUGGGCCUAAAGCAUCCGUAGCCGGCGCUAUAAGUUUUCCGUUAAAUCUGUACGCUCCACGUACAGGCUGGCGGGAAUACUGGAACGCUUAGGAAUGGGAAAAGUAGACCGUACUCCGUAAGAAAGGGUAAAAUCCUUUGAUCUAUUGGUGACCCCCUGGGGGGAAAGCGGUCUACCAGAACACGUCCCGACGGGGGAGGAAUGAAAGCCUGGGGGGAGCAAACCGGGAUUAGAUACCCCGGUAGUCCCAGCUGUAAACUAUGCAAACUCAGUGAUGCAAUGGGCUUGUGGGCAAUGCAGUGCUGCAGGGAAGCCCGUUAAGUUUGCCGCCUGGGAAGUACGUACGCAAGUAUGAAACUUAAAAGGAUUGGCGGGG